UCCUCUCCACCAAGGGUGUUCCUCCCCACCAGGGGUGUUCCUCCCCACCAGGAGUGUUCCUCUCCAGUGGAUUUGGGAGGAGAUUAGAAGCAGCACCCGUGUGACACACAGCAUCCCUAUCGGGCCGGGGACAAAAGGAGGACCGGAUAUGUUGGAGGAAAUAUCCUCUCGGAUCAGACACAAAUGGUGACGUGAGGAACUGGAAAGACUAAGCUUUGAGGGUUAAAGUCUAAUCACUACCCGUCUAGACAUCUGUGUUGAAGGAGGAACAGGAGAAAGCCCCAGGGCUAGAAUAAACACAACUAAGGCUGAAGAAAACAUGAUCCUCUCGUGGAAUCUCAAGAAGGACAACCGUUGAAAAAACUGUAUUUAACUCUUAACAGCAGCUCAGUCUUCCUGCGGGAUCUGAACGCUGGAGACCCAUCAAGAGAACAUCCCAGACAGUACAGACAAUCGUGAAGCAGUGUCUGAUACCCAUAGUGAAGAUCAAACUAUCAGGUGAAAAGGAACAAACAGAGCAGGAGUCCGUGGAGAAAAGUUCAUUAACUGAUAAUGUUUGUUUUACCUAAUAUUUCUCAGCAGCUCAUAUUUUG